ACGGGUGUAGCUCAAUUGGUAGAGUGGCGGUCUCCAAAACCGUAGGCUGGGAGUUCGAGCCUCUCCACCCGUG
rnacentral:tRNA from 4 species